UACGAAGGGGGCUAGCGUUGCUCGGAAUCACUGGGCGUAAAGGGUGCGUAGGCGGGUCUUUAAGUCAGGGGUGAAAUCCUGGAGCUCAACUCCAGAACUGCCUUUGAUACUGAAGAUCUUGAGUUCGGGAGAGGUGAGUGGAACUGCGAGUGUAGAGGUGAAAUUCGUAGAUAUUCGCAAGAACACCAGUGGCGAAGGCGGCUCUCUGGCCCGAUACUGACGCUGAGGCACGAAAGCGUGGGGAGCAACCAGG
rnacentral:rRNA from 1 species